CUUGGUGAGACCGGGGGGCGGAGCCGCCCCAGCCAGGGAGUUGAUCCCUGUCCUAGUUACCAGCCCGGAACAAGCCUGUCAGUGUUAGGAGGUGACACAGCAGUGGUGACCCGGGGGGCUGCGGCGCUUGCUCAUGCUUUGGGUUGGCAGCAGUGCAUCACGGGACGGCACGGUGGAUGGGGCAUUCCAGGCACGGUGUAGUAUGGAAGAAUACAAGAAGCCAAGGUAUGUGUACCACUGUUCUCUAGUGGAUGGACUAUGAGAUGUUCUUGUGUGUGUAAUCAUCAUAAACAUACAUUCUGUACUGAGGACGGUUGCACUGACCAGAGUCACCUGGUUGAUGGUGUUGCACCAGCCAUCAUGAAGUGAAGUUCCCAGAUCUGGCUCAAUCCUGCAGAUCCACAAAUCUCUGGAGAGGCCUCAUGAGUGGCACUAGGUGACAUGGCUGAUGAGCAUGCAACACCACUUUUUAAUAAAAUGAGUGAUUGAAGGAAGGACAGAGCUCUUCAUAACUGUGACAUUUCACUCAAAGUCAAACCACUUUAUACUCAGUAUUUGGUGCUGAAAGUGCACAUGGAAUGCCUCUAGCAGCUCCAAGUCUGCCAGGAAAUUGUGUAAGAGUGAGAGAUUAUCUUGCCACCUAGUGGCACAGUUUACAAACUAUUUAUUGAACUCUAAAAAUGUGAUAUCAGCUGAAGUAUGAACAUUUAAGUGUUGGAGAUCAUGUCAUCCUUUUGUCUCUGAAACCUAUGCAGGAUAUCAAGCCUAAAAUUAGUGUACAAGCAUCUACAAGUUUGUGAGGGAUGAAAACAAAUUUGGGUCUUACAUAGGCUUGCCACUUUUUCAACUGGCAAUAGUGUGAUAUUGUGGUAUUUCUCCUAGUGCAUGUCAAAAAAAAAAUCCUAUUUUUCAACAAUGUCCUUGUUUUGUAUGAA